UCUCCCUCUCUUCCUCCUUCUUUUCUUUUCAUUUUCCCCAUUUUUCUCCCCCUCACCGCACGCUUCUCUUCUUCUUCUUCCUUUCUUUUCUUUUUCUUCCUUUUUCUCUCUUCUCCUCUCUGUUCCACACGCACACACAACCCCUUCCCAUUUUCUUUCUUCCUUUUCUCACCACAUCACUCGCACGCACACGCCCAGAAGGAAGAAACACUGAGAGACCGAGAUUGUGAGAGAGAUUUAGAGAUGGAGAGUUCGGCUAUGGGGGAAAACCCAUGAAAAUCAGGGUCGUGUCAUAAUUGGAGAUUUCAAUGCGUUUUCCAAUGUUGAGUUCGAGUCGUGAGUCCAAUGCAGCCAGGUUGUCACAAAGGCUCCCCACACAACUGAUACAGAAGAAGCAGAAAAGAAAGAUCCGAGGGGUCCCCAGUGCUUCGAAUGUUCAGGCUUUGGCCACAUCGGGACUGAAUGUGCAAAUCUGAAGAAACAAAUAGGGAAAGCCUUUAAUGCAACUCUCAGCGAUAAGUCUGAGAAAGAAGAAGAAACUCCUGUGGAAGAAAAAUUCCUGGCAUUUGUAGCCCCACAUGAAGAUAAGGAGGAUUCUCAGUCUUACUACUCUGAGAAUGAUGAUAGAGGACUGAUCAUGCAGACUAUGGUCAGAGGCUAGACAAUUUUGAUAGACCCCCAGCUUAUCAGUUCUGUGAUUGGGAUCCCUGUUCUACCAGUCUCUGGAGUUCCUUUUCCUGAUGAGGCUUCCAGCAUUGAGUUUUUACAUGACUUCUUUGGGACGAGACCACAGCGCGAGGACAAGUCCCACUCCUAGAUCAACAUCGGUGCCUUUGCUCCUAUGCACCGAUUCUUAGCAAAGGUUGUUGUCACAAACCUUUGGCCUCAAGCUCGGCGGAGUGAGCUUACCCUCAAGAAGGCCACCCUUCUAUAUGCCAUCGUGAUGUAGAAUUCUUUUUGCCUGUGCAAGCACAUCUUGCACACUAUGCUCGAGGUUAGAGAUGAGAAGAACAUGAGUUUGUCUUUUGGGUGUCUAAUCACUCAAAUCUGCCUUCAGGUUGUGCCAGAUAUUUCAGAAUCGGAGCCCCGCUCACGGAUUCCAGAUCCCAUUAGCAUACAGACUUUCAUGAAGUCUAAUGCCCAGUUGAGGCAUGAGGCUCAAGGCGGUGUUCCUCAGCCUCCAUCAGUUCCACCAGCAACUGCAUCAUCAUCAUCCCAGGCUGUGCCCCCUACUUUCGAUAUAAAGGUUGCAUUUUCUCAACUGAUGUCAUCCAUGGGAGCUCUCCAGCGUGAAGUUACUCUUAUUGGAAAGCAUGUGGAACAAUGUCAGAUUGACAUUUGCGAGUGCCUACAGUACCAUCACCCCACGGCUGAUGAUGAGGACUGAUUAUUAUUAGUAUUAUUAUUAUUAUUGUUCUUUUUGUUGUUUGCUUGUAUGUAAAAAAUUUUAAAAUUGU